UGUAAAAGCAAGUAUGCUGCACUUCACUUGACAAGUGUGGCCUUGUCGGUUGUUGGGCAUGACAUUGUUUAAAUGCAUAGACAAUGAGGACAAGAAAGUAGAUGCGCACGCACGCUGCAUGGCACCUUAAGAUUUCAAUCCUUAAGCAAUCCGUUUCAGCUGCGAUGUUUGGAGUGUGGCACCUUGCAACUUUAGAAAUCUUACACAUUCUCAUACCAAGUGGACCAGCUGAAAAUGAUCAGAACUGGCGCUCUUUCCAUGACGUGGUCAGGAAUAAACGGAAAGAAAAGCUAUGCCGUUAUCUGAGUGACUAAGUUGUAUGGUCUGUUUAACAUGUAGCUCGUGAUUUUUGUUUUACUGAUACAUUUUAUUGCUUACUUGUGCUCACAUUGCAAAUCUAUUUCUCACAUGGACCCCAUCUCAUUGCUGAUUUGACUGUGUGGCACAGCGACAAAUGACUUAUUCGCUCUCAUGAAGCUUGUUGACUACGAAUUUCCAGCGGCAAAUGUGAUCAUCACUCACAGCGUCGUGAUCGUGUCACAGUGAUCGUCAAUCAAGUUUGGAUUCCGGCUACAGUCUAUUUUCUACAUGCUUUUUUAUUUUCGGCAUGCUGCAUGAGACUCCUGUGACCACAGAUCCAGAGUACACUAUCAAAAUGCAAGCCAAAGUUCUAAAGUAUCACAUUUAGAGCUCAUUCGCAUUGGCAACUCACAGAGGUCGUGCAACCAGGUUGGUCGCAAAGCAAUUGGUUUUAUAUAUGGCUGCAGUUGGUUGCAUUGGUCAGAAAGCAGCUGCUUUGGGUUAGGCGCUCGUUCCUUGAUCACCAGUGUGAAUGAGCCCUCAGUCAUGGCUGUAGUAAACUUUAGCGGCCAAACGGCAGUUGUAAAAAGCCUGAAAAAAUGCUAACAAUGGAAACUGCGUUUGUGGUAACAAUGUAAGGAACACAAUUUUGUCAGAUCAAGUGCGAACAAUUAAAUUCACUAUCGUUUGAUGUCCAAAAUAUUUUUCGCCAUUUUACAUUUGCUCUAUGGGGCCCAUGGCAGAGCUGGGAAUAAAUCUGAAUAGUUGACCUGGUGCAAGAAGUAGGUUGUCCAUUGUGUCGCCUAGAAUGCUCAGGGUGGAUGCAAAGCAGGCAGCUAGUGAAUAUCCCCUCGUCUCUACAAGUGACAUGGAAAACUGGGUAACAUGCAAUGACCAUGGAAGUCAUUUCGCAUGUAUUCUGCAGUGCCUUAACACUGGCUUUCCCAACUAAUGCUGCAGGCCAAGAAAAAAAAUAAUUGAUGGCUUUAACUAGAGGCAAGUAAGAAAUAAUUCACACGUCAAUUAUUUGAAAUUUUGGAUAAUUCAAAUUAUGUGGUACAGUCUGGCCAAGCUCCAUAGAACUCCAUGUAUUUAAACCUUGUUAAUUGGCAUGCAAAUAGGGUCUACCACAAAUAAUCCUAAUUGCAAACCGCCGUGGCUGGCUUUUGGCUUGCACUGGUGAUCACUCUCCCAGCUAAGCGACAGGUGGCGUGAUGUGCUCACAUCAUGUGAUGUGAUGUGCCCCAGUAACAGCUUCCUUGGAUCUCAAAGGCUAUGCUUUUGUGGACUGCAUGUACCGAAAGAGAAUAAGGUUACCGGAAUUGCGUCAUGGCCACAACGUUCUUGCAUUUAUUUUUUACAAAAGGUUAGUUGCAUCGACAUCGACAGUGGGGCUCUAACUUUUUUUACUCUAUUUGUUAAAAAUGAGGGUGAAGCCAUGAGGCACUUAUAGAAGAAAUAACUUUAGUACUGAAAAAAGUCGCAGUUUCGCUCGAAAGGCGAAGCACCGAUUGCUAUAGCAAAUUAGUAGGUUGCUAUGUGAAGUAAGGAUAGUAAUUUUAUUGGCUGUAUAAACCUGUAAACAUUUGCUUACUAACUAAAUUAACAAGCACAGUGCCACGCACGCACAGGUAAACAUGAACACUUCUCGCUGGAUGACUGCAGAAACUUGCUUUGAAAAUGCUUGAGUAAGGAAUCGUGUCAACAGCAGCGAGCAAAUUGACUUUUGUGCAUCUCUCACUUCAACGCGAACGAAACGUUAAAAGCACAGCUCAUUCGAAGCUGCCGGCACUACAUGUACUCUGCAAGCAUCGCAGAUCGCUUUGAAGAUGAGGCAUGGGCAUGCACAGGCGCGCACUUUGGCCACAUUGUAGAUCGCUUUCAAGAUGCGGUGCUCACACGGCUGUGCCGUAAGCAGCAGCCUCCAGAAAAGAACCCCUCCCUCGCCUCACCCCUGCACCUAGCACGCGCCAGGAGAGGGCACGCUGCUGGCCCACCUUCCUCACUUGCACACGUGAGAUUGAGCCAUGUUGCCUGGCUCACCCUCGCCUGUUUUCACUUGCACAUCCAACAUAAGGCGCGACAGUGGUGAUUUUAUCGCCCUUGGACGUUAUACGGAACUCCACGGUGACGGCAGAAAUGCCGCUGGGCUGUCCAUAUAAUUGCUACUGCAAUAAAAUAAACCAGCCAAAACUGGAAAGCGAUGGCGGGCUAAAGGAUAAUGGACACAAGAUGUAUCAGCAAUGGACCUUCUUCAGGUGAACCUACUGCGCAUGUGCAGCUUGUUGCAGCGUCGUGCAUCAUGGGAUGGCAUACGAUCACAUUUGUUUUGGGGGUAGCAUGGUCACGCUUUUCCCUCAGCGAGAAUGUACGAGCUUGUGUUUCCACCAGUUUUCGCUGUGAUUUUUGCGAACGGAAGCAGGAAAUCGCAGGCAACGCUGAACCAGUUUGUUGCCGUCGGCUGUGCGAAUGUCAAGAGCAAAGACGGAGGUGUCAGACUAUUUAGAUUUCCUGCAGCGUGCUUACAUGCAGCCAAGCGAGCGAAAUGGAUUCAGGCAAUGAGCCUCGUCAGUGUCAACGGCUCCCUGUGGCAACCGUCCGCCAACUCUCGAGUAUGCAGCAGACAUUUAUUACAAGGAGAGACAUCACGUUUUCUCCACCCUGACUGCAUGCCGUCCGUCUUCAAUCACAAGAGAAGUCUAGGGGGCCUUAUCACACCUCAACAGAUUGGAAAAAAGGCGUGUCCGGCUCUUUCUCUGCGGCGCUGCGCCCCCAGCCGUUUAGGCCUCAUGCCGUAGGCCCUACGUCCGGCCGCCCCAUCGAAGCUACAACAAACUGGCGACGAGGCUACCGGAUGCGAGGCACUACAAGACGACAGGAAGAAAGCCAGUUUACUCAGUAACUUGUGCUUCGAAAGGUAGCGUCUCUACUAUGACUUCGCGUCGCAAACGGACCCGAGAGCUACUACGUUCGAAAACGCUCUUCGCACCUUCGACCGACAUUAUGAAGAAAGCGCCAAUCCCACGGUGCACCGCAUUAUCUUCCGGGACAGGAAGCAACUACCUGGAGAAACCUUUCAGGACUUCGUCACCGCGCUACAAAGGCUGGCGCCUGCUUGUGUGUUCGGCACUUGGCAUGACGAGUCCCUUCGCGACGAAAUCCUGCAAGGCGUCACAUCCGCAAGAAUACAAGGCUACUCUACGAAGGAUCGUCCCUCACGCUCAAGAAAGCUGAGAAAAUCGGACGAAGCAUGGAGCAAGUUAACAAGGAACUUCAAGUCUUCAACAGCUCGUCUGUUCAGCGCAUCUCAACGCGACGCCAAGAUGGCGUCGCCAGCCAUCACUUUCCUCACCCGGGCACGCAAGAUGGUGGCUCCCGCUAUACUUCUUUCUCGACCCGGCGCCUUCAAGAUGGCGCUCAACGGCAUGGCGGAAAGUCGCAUCCUCGAGAGGCCGGCCAGCCUGACGCCCGGCCCGAACUCCGCGAAGCCUGUCGAGACAUCGCAGUCCAUUGGUACCGAUGUGGCUCACCUCACCACAUCGCAUCCGAUCCAGCCUGUCCGGCAAAGCAUCUCGCCUGCCAUGCGUGCGGAAAAGUGGGACAUUACGCUUCGGUUUGCCGUUCGAGGAACCGAACGCAGCGACAGUCUCCUGCUCGAACGCAGCUUGUUUCCGUUACCGCUGAUACAGACUCAGCCACUACAGUCCCGUUUGUGCUUACAAUUCAAGCACCGAAUUUCCGUCCGGCAACAAUUGACGCCGAAGUCCUCAUAGCGAAAACUACACUCAUAUUACUCGUGGACACAGGAGCUACGGUGUCGCUGAUGAACAGCUUCCUAUACGAAGAACAUUUCAAGGUUUUUUCCAUUAUCUCCUUCGAGUCUUCGACUCAAGAAUUAUUCACAGCAAGAAAUUCUGCAUUCAGGACGUUUCUCCGAGCUCGUCAAGUACCGCAACAAGGCUGCAGUAGUGACAUUUCACAUCGCGAACCAAGUCACUUCUCUUCUGGGCUUAGACGUCAUUCAAGCUUUGGGCAUUGACAUUCAAGGGUCUUCGCUUACAUGUCAACAAGUAUCAGGACUUCCAGCUGACCCAAGCGUCCAGCUUCCAUCUCUUCCACACAACGCUCCAGCAGAGGUCGCCCAUUUGUUCUCAGGACAAUUGGGACUUGUAAAGGGCUUCGUUUAUGACGUUCAUCUCCGAGUUCAGUGCAACCAAUCUCAGCGAAACUGCGUCCUCUACCUCUGGUUCUCCGGGAGCGAGUCUCCGCCGAGCUACAACACCUGGAAUCAGCUGAUGUCAUAGAACGAGUCACUGCUUCCAAGUGGAUUUCUCCGCGCGUCAUCAUUCUGAAGAUGGACAAUUCCAUUCGACUUUGCAUCGAUCUUCGAGACCGCAACAAGGCUAUCAUCAUCGACGCCUUUCCGCUACCGAGGGCUGACGAACUGUUACAUCGACUUGCUGAUGCUACCGUCUUUAGUAAGUUGGACUUACGGUGCGCUUCUCAUCAGAUUUUAUUGUCCGAGAAAAGCCAUGAGCUUACUACUUUUGUCACUCAUGACGGUCUUUUUCGCUUCAAGCGUGUGUUUUCGGUUGGGCAUCUGUUCCAUCCGCUUUCCAACAGAUCAUGUCAUCUGUUUUAAAAGACUGUCCAGCCACCUUGUGCUACCUUGAUGAUCUUCUUGUAUGGGGUCACACUCAACGUGACCAGACAGAAAUUUGCAAACCGUCCUGUCUAGAAUAAGUAAUGCAGGCAUGCAGCUUAACCAGAAGUGCGUAUUCAGUGUCCCAGAAUUAACUUUCUUAGGACAUAAAAUUUCUGCAAAUAGCAUUUCGCCGAUGGAUAGCAAAGCUCAGGCAAUCGUGGAGGCACCACAGCCUAAGGACAAACACGCUCUACAUUCAUUUCUGGGCCUCAUGGGAUAUUAUGCUAAAUUUAUCCCUCGGUAUGCCGAUGUAGUGGAGCCGCUAAGGAAACUCCUAAGGCAAGGACAAGCCUUUGUCUGGGAUUGGGAUACUGAAUACAGCUUUCAGGCGAUUAAAGAUGCGCUUGCACCACACCCAGUGGUACGCAUGUUUCAACCGCAUCUUCGUAUUGUUGUCACAGUUGAUGCUUCUGACAUUGGCAUAGGAGCCGUCCUGCAGCAAAAAUGCGGAAAUGAGCUCUUUACAGUAGCCUUUGCUUCUCGUACGAUAUCUUCCGCAGAACAAUGGUACUCUGUAGGCGAAUGACAAGCAUUGACAUGUCUGUUUGCGUAUGAACACUGGCGUGCUUGCUUGUGGGGUCGACAGUUCACUCUACGAAUUGAUCACCAAGCUCUAGUCGCAUUGCUGUCUUCAAAGGGACCUGGACAGCGACCAUUAAGUAUUUCAACGUGGAGUGCAAGAUUGCUAUAUUACAAUUUCAUCAUUGAGUACUGUAAAGGUGACCAAAAUGCCAUUGCGCACGCAUUGUCACGCAUAUCUGUCCCUCCCGAAUGUAAACCAGUACUAGAUGAUGAAGUAGUGUCUUUGGUUUCAUCUUGUAUCACAAAGGAAUAAUUCCAAGCAGCUACACAAGGAGAUCCAGUGUACCAAGCAUUAAAAGAAAAAAAAAUAGUAAAAGGAUGGAGAACUGCGGUGGACCUUCCGCCAGAGUUGCAGGCAUAUACUGCUGUACAGUCCGAAUAUUCAUACGUGGAUAAUCUGCUUCUCCGAGGUGAAUGUAUCGUUUCUCCUGCUUCCUUGUAUCAGACACUCCUGUCAAUUGCUCAUGAAGGUCACUUAGGCAUCACGAAAACCAAGCUCAUUGAGAGGCAUCUACUGGUGGCCUCACAUGGAUAGGAAAGUUGAGCAACUUGUGGGAAACUGCUUUGUGUGCCAAGAAGCAGGUAAAUCGGCCAAACCAUCUUUUGCUCCAUUAUAAAAAGUCGAAUGGCGGUUAAGACCAUGGGGAAAGUUAGCCAUGUGUGAUCUGUGAGUGCAAGUGUGUAUUUCGUCGCCUUCCCAAGACGGGUGCUGAAACUCUUCAGAACUGUAGUGCAAUCAUGUUUAUUUUCAGUCUCCACGUUGUCUGUUUUUCUUAACGCUUUGAGGGUUGAUUUUUUUCGCAAUAUGCGACCACCUAGGGUCGCU